AGGAAGGGCCGGUCAGCCGGCAGAUGCAGCCCAGGUGGGGAGGCAGCCUUCCGCUGCGGGACCGUGACCCUGCACAGGGUCCUCUGGUAGACGCAGAGAGUCAGGCUGCCAGCGCCCAGAAAGGGGGGCAAGGAAGCAAAGCAGCCAGAACCCGCCCUUGCUGAGGAAACUCUGGGGCAGGGACAGGCAUCUGCUGAGCGCAAGGCCUGGCACUGACCUCCUCGAGGCGUAAGAGGAACAAUGCCAGGGCCCCCCCCAGGAGCUGGCAUGGGCUGGCAGGCAGGGGCGCGGGAGUUUUUCGGGUGCACCUGUCAAAUGUAGCUCCGGCAGCUUUGAGUUUUCCAAUGACACAUUGUUUUACCUGAAGAGAUCAUUUACAGAAGAGCAAGAACUCUCUGGUUGUCAUUCCUUAGUGGCUCAUAAGAAAAGCAGUUCUUCAUGGACUUCAACCUUGAUACCUGACCUUUUUGGACACAGUAACAGCAUCUGUAGUUUUAUCCAGUCGAGCAAACUUCCCACUGAAAAUUUCUAAUGAACAGCCAAAUGUUURUGAGUAUUUUCUGGGCAUUUCCAGCCGUAUUUGUUGACAAAGGAGUGCAUUUUGGUGUCUUACCAUCUCGUAUUCCAUUAUUUACUCCAUAUAAGCAUUUGCCCAC